rnacentral:lncRNA from 1 species
UCUUUUUAAAACUUAAGAAUGGCUUUAUGAUUUAUAACCGAACAGAAAAUGUUAUAUAAAAAUUCAUUAAAAUAUUAAAUGGCCAAUACAGCUAUCUCACCAUAAGUCCUAUAGUAUUUUUUUCUAAAUAUUUCUUAUUCUUUCUCUCUCUCUCUCUCUAUGAAUAUAUUUCAUAUAAAUUUACAUACAAACAAUUUAAAUUUCUACAAAUACAAGUACUUAAUAAUGAAAAUGGAAUUUCAUAAUAUUAAAAAAGUAU